rnacentral:rRNA from 1 species
GAUGAACGCUGGCGGCGUGCUUAACACAUGCAAGUCGAACGAUAUCCAUUAGCAAUAGUGGUGAAAGUGGCGAACGGGUGAGUAACACGUAGAUAACCUGCCCUGAAGCGGGGGAUAACGAUUGGAAACGGUCGCUAAUACCGCAUAAGCCUGUCGAAGCGGGAGUGAGACGGGGAAAAUCAAGGUGCUUUAGGAGGGGUCUGCGUCCGAUUAGCUAGUUGGAGAGGUAAAGGCUCACCAAGGCGACGAUCGGUAGCUGGUCUGAGAGGACGAUCAGCCACACGGGAACUGAGACACGGUCCCGACACCUACGGGAGGCAG